rnacentral:tRNA from 2 species
UAUAUUAUAGUUUAUUAAAACAUUAAAUUGCAAAUUUAAAGAAAUUUAUUUAAAUAAAUUAAUAUAU